rnacentral:rRNA from 1 species
GACGAACGCUGGCGGCGUGCUUAACACAUGCAAGUCGAACGAAGUGGCGAACGGGUGAGUAAGACGUUAGUAACCUGCACUCCUUUUUGGGAUAAGCCCUGGUAACGGGGUCUAAUACCGGAUAACGGGGGAUGGGCUCGCGGCCUAUCAGCGUGUUGGUGGGGUGAUGGCCUACCCAGGCAGUGACGGGUAGCCGGCCUGAGAGGGUGACCGGUGACAUUGGGACUGAGAUACGGCCGAGAAGAGUACGGGAGGCAGAAGUGUGGGAUAUUGAAACAUGGGCGAAAGACUGAUGAAGGGAAGCAGAGGGGGGAAUGAAGGCUUUGGGGUUGUAAACCUAUAUCGGUAUAGAAAGGGUAGGUGGAGAAGAAGCGCCGGCUAACUACGUGGCAGCAGCCGCGGUAAUAC